UACGAAGGGGGGCUAGCGUUGCUCGGAAUCACUGGGCGUAAAGGGUGCGUAGGCGGGUCUUUUAAGUCAGGGGUGAAAUCCUGGAGCUCAACUCCAGAACUGCCUUUGAUACUGAAGAUCUUGAGUUCGGGAGAGGUGAGUGGAACUGCGAGUGUAGAGGUGAAAUUCGUAGAUAUUCGCAAGAACACCCGUGGCGAAGGCGGCUCUCUGGGACGGUACUGACGCUGAGACGCGGAAAGCGUGGGGAGCGAACAGG
rnacentral:rRNA from 1 species